rnacentral:rRNA from 1 species
UGGGGAAUAUUGCACAAUGGAGGGAACUCUGAUGCAGCGACGCCGCGUGAACGAAGAAGGCUUUCGAGUCGUAAAGUUCUUUUAUAUGGGAAGAUAAUGACGGUACCAUAAGAAAAAGCCCCGGCUAACUACGUGCCAGCAGCCGCGGUAAUACGUAGGGGGCUAGCGUUGUCCGGAAUCACUGGGCGUAAAGGGUUCGCAGGCGGAAAUGCAAGUCAGGUGUAAAAGGCAGUAGCUUAACUACUGUAAGCAUUUGAAACUGCAUAUCUUGAGAAGAGUAGAGGUAAGUGGAAUUUUUAGUGUAGCGGUGAAAUGCGUAGAUAUUAAAAAGAAUACCGGUGGCGAAGGCGGCUUACUGAGCUCAUUCUGACGCUGAGGAACGAAAGCGUGGGUAGCAAACAGG